AAAAGUUUAUCUACUUCGUCAUUUACCGCCUUUGCUCGUUCCACUCCGAGUUUUCUUCUUUUUGGUUUUACAGGCUUGAAUCUCUGAUCCACGUUUAGCUCGUGGCAGAUUAUGCUUGGAUCUAUGCCACGCAUAUCCGCUGCUGACCACGCAAACGAUGCUUUAUUUUUGUUCAAAAGUUCUAUUAUGGCUUCUUUUAAUUUGUCGGUUGAUAUGAUUCAAACUACCUAGAACUACUCUCUCAAAUAAGAGAUCAAUUGCAGUAUUUUAGGAUCGAUUUCACGGAGUUCUUUUGUUCAAACAGUGAGUUAAAUGUCGAGAUUAAGCUAGCAGGGUGUGAGUGAAAUAGUAAGAAAACAAAAUAAGAAAAUAGAAGAUUGAUUGUGUUGUAAACGAUUUAAUAAAAGAGGUAGGAACAGGGUAUUCUCAGGAAACUAUUGGUUAGUAGAUCUAAUUAAAGCUAGGUUGUUAUCGAACCAUUCUUAAACUCAAACUCUAAUUAUGGAAUAACCGGUGGGCGUGCCGCAAAACUCCCUAUAUCUAUAGCUAAUAGUGACCGGAGAAGCCGAGAGACUAUCAACUUAAAUAUGCAUUCUUAACGAGUUCAAUUGUUCAUCUUAGUAAAUAGGCCGAUUCUUAUUACACACCUAGACCAGACUCAUCAAAUAAUAGAUCCAACUACAGAUUCCUAUGGCGGGCAUAUCUAUUGUCUGGAUUCAAGAUCUAGUUAAUUACUCUAGAUCUAGCAUUAGGUAUAAUUAGAGAUGAAGAAUUCUAAAGAUAACCUAGCAAAGGGGGCAAUCUACUAAACCAUAUGAAUCCCUAAUGAGAAACCCUAUUCCUAACAAGCAGACUACUCAGACAUAUUGAAUGAAACAAACAACAUAAUUGAGAUAGAAAGCAUGAACACAGUGAAUAGAGAAGGGGAAAGAAGGGAUCUCUUCACUGUAUAUAGAUCUGAAUGAAACUCUGAAUAACAAUGGAUGAAUAGCUUAUGUCUCUUACAAUAGGGUUUGCAAAGAACUUGAUAAAAGACUUGAUAAAAGAAACUUAGGUCUAAAAACAAUAUAUAUAGACCCUAAAAACGUCUAGGGACUAAUAAUGCAAAUAGAGAAAUCUUCUGGGGCAAACUUGAGCUUCUGGAAACUCGAAAGCGGCUAGGGUUUUUGCUGGGCCAGAACUGGUGUCGAUCGACACCAAGAGUGUGUCGGUCGACACUCCUCGCUGAUUCCUGAACCAAAAUUGUCCUUAGCUUCCUUUUCAUUAGGUUUUGCUCCAAAAUGUCUCCUUAUCUCCAAUGUUGUCCCAUUGCAUAGAAUACCUGAAAAGACACAAAAAAGACUCGAGAAAUAACAUAAAGACUCAAAAUCCUAUACCUAAAACAAAGAUAAAUCGGUGAAUAUUGGGUUAUAUCAUCGGUUAGAGUAGCUCCAAUUCGAACUUUCCGAUUUGGCUUGUCCUCUUCUAACAUUAUUUCUUUCUUCGCGGGCUUCGUUAAUUGCUAUUGGAUCUUCAGACGGUGGCUAGCUAGAUAACAUGUCCGAGAAGCUUUAAAGUGAUACAAAACCAAAAAAAAA
rnacentral:sRNA from 1 species